AUACGGAGGGUGCAAGCGUUAUUCGGAAUCACUGGGCGUAACGGGUGCGUAGGCGGUUUGAUAAGUCUGAUGUGAAAUCCUAUGGCUCAACCAUAGAACUGCAUUGGAAACUGUCAGACUAGAAUACUGAAGGGGCAGAUGGAAUUAGUGGUGUAGGGGUAAAAUCCGUAGAUAUCACUAGGAAUACCGAAAGCGAAAGCGAUCUGCUGGGAAGUUAUUGACGCUGAGGCACGAAAGCGUGGGGAGCAAACGGGAUUAGAAACCCUAGUAGUCC
rnacentral:rRNA from 1 species